ensembl:lncRNA
GUCUUGCCUGCCAAUUAAUUACAGAGUUCGUGGGAAGUGUUUACAAAUUAGUCAACUGAAAAGCUAAAUACAGCAGAGCAGUCGUUCUGAUGAGGCAGGAAAUAAAAAUGCCCCUAGGUAUUUCAUGAGUCUGUUCUUGUGUCCACAAGCACAGAUUGAAGAGAACACACUAAAACUCCACUGGCAAUUUUCCAGGAUGCCAAAAUGGUGUUUCCUACAUGUAGCCUGUAGGAUUUACAAAUUCUCAAAAUAUGAGACUCUUAAUGGCAACAGCAGAUCAGUCCUUCUUUUACAAGUUACAAAUGCUUUUUAAGAGCCUCUUUCCUAACAGUCCCUUGACUUCAUAACUGCUGUAAUUAAUGCUGGCAGGAGCUGUGCUCCCUAAUUUUUCAUGGCUGCCCCUAAACAUCUGGCUGAAACGACUGAGACUGUUCAUCCAGUUUCUAACCUUAAAUAUAAACAUACUACUCUAUCACUACUUGCUUUUGUGCAGAUGUUUUAUCCUGAUUUUUAUUUCAGAAAAGACAUAAUUAUAUUGCAGAUAUAUUAUAUUAUAUAUAUUAUAUUGCAGAUUCAGUGCCACGAGAUGUUGGAAUUAUAAAGGGAUAAAUGAGAAAAUGUGGAAAUGAAAAUAUAUUACCUCAAAACCCAAUUAGGAAUUCCAUCAAAGGCUAUUAAAAUUCAUAUAUAACUUUCUGCACUUCGGAUUGAGAGUGUAAAGUAGAAAAAAAUAUAACUCUGCACUUUUUAGUCUCUAUAUUAUUGCCAAAUAAGCAUAAGCAUCCAAUACUGACUACUAGCAAAGAAAAGGCACUGGAACAGAGAUACCUCCUGGGCUGUCCAUAAACAAUGCUUUCCAUGUAAAUAUAAAUCCAGCUAAAACUCUUGUACUAGUCACAGAUUCUUUCCCACUUUAUUGUUUUACACUUUAUCUAAAUUGCCAAAAGAAACCUUUUCACUCUAAAUAUUGAAUUAGGCUGAAGAUCUUCAGUCCUGCUAAAUUUUGUGGCAUCUUAUUUUAUAAAAUGGCAUUUUAUGACAUUUUAUUAUAUAAAAAAUUAAGGAUAGAAGUGAUAAAACACUUCUUUUGCUUUGUUUUGCUUUCUUUCAAGGAAUUCUUGAAAAGGGUUCUUGAUAUUAAAUAAGAGCAGUCAAAAACCUGUCCAUGAUGAAACCAUUCAUAAAUGAGGCCAUAAAUAGCAAUCUUUUCAUGAGCCUUGUCCACAUGAAAGAAGUUUCCCUUUGGACUAAUUAACUUUUUCAAUAACUGUACAGAAGACAGAAGGUGGCUUGACAGCACCUGACAUGACAGUAACAAUAAGACAAAUGUUGCUUCUGAAGCAUGCACUCUAAAGGCAUUGCCAUGGGAACAUUUAUCCUUUUACCCCUUUUUGUGCUGAGGUUCAUUGCUUCAAACAUGCCCAGACCCACGAGGCUGUUGGCCUGAAUAUUUUAAUAGCUGAUGAGGGAGGGACUGAGGGAGGAGGAGAGACAAGAUGCUUGGGUAGCCUGGAGCAAUAUCUUUAUGAAUAUCCCCUUAUGUGGACUGUGUCUCCUCCUGACCGAAUCAGGAUUUCAGUGCUACCCCUAAACUAUGACAA